UACGAAGGGGGCUAGCGUUGCUCGGAAUCACUGGGCGUAAAGCGCACGUAGGCGGCUUCUCAAGUCAGGGGUGAAAUCCUGGAGCUCAACUCCAGAACUGCCUUUGAUACUGAGGGGCUCGAGUCCGGGAGAGGUGAGUGGAACUGCGAGUGUAGAGGUGAAAUUCGUAGAUAUUCGCAAGAACACCAGUGGCGAAGGCGGCUCACUGGCCCGGUACUGACGCUGAGGUGCGAAAGCGUGGGAGCA
rnacentral:rRNA from 1 species